CAGCCGCCACGGUAAUACGAAGGGGGCUAGCGUUGUUCGGAUUUACUGGGCGUAAAGCGCACGUAGGCGGACUUUUGAGUCAGGGGUGAAAUCCCGGGGCUCAACCCCGGAACUGCCUUUGAUACUGGCGAUCUUGAGUAUGAGAGAGGUGAGUGGAACUCCGAGUGUAGAGGUGAAAUUCGUAGAUAUUCGGAAGAACAUCAGUGGCGAAGGCGACUCACUGGCUCAUUACUGACGCUGAGGCUCGAAAGCGUGGGGAGCAAACAGGAUUAGAUACCCCGGUAGUCCCUGUCUCUUAUAC
rnacentral:rRNA from 1 species